UCAAUAAUUAUUGAAACUUAAUUAACAUCUUAUUUUGUUUCAGGUUUGGAUUAAUUCUAAUGCACUUGUAAUUAUCGGUCUUGGAUCUAAAAAAAGAACUUACCUUCGAUGCAUUCAUUGCAUUGCAUCCCAACAGAUCUCAAAUAAUUUUUUCUUUUUCUUUUUCAGAACAUUCUUUUCUGCAUUCUGUCUAGCGCAAUGUUUCAAAGAUUUGAGAAAUUUAAUUAACAAUAAGCCAACUAACACUAAUAAGCUUAUACAACGAUGCAAUAAGUAGCGAUAUGGUAGAGACCUAUAUUACCCUGUUACUGUAGUUCAUAAUUUGUCCAAACUUUUCGCUAAAUUUACGUAUGCACAAAAAGUGGUAACCAAUCUUAAUAAAAAAUAUUUAUUAUCUUUUAAUCCUUUUAUGUAAUUUUAAGUAAAUAAAUGAACCAAUUAAUUUGCGAUAAAAGGAUCACAUGAUUAAUCGAUUUCGAGGUUAGUGCAACGAGAUUUGAUAAUGCGCCAUCUAUUAAUACUAGUUUUGUUAACAGUGAAGCAAACCAAGAGCACAAAUAAGUUUUGGCCUUGGUGUCUAUACUGGAUUAUAUCUAAAUCAGAAUUAUGAAAUUCCAAAAGUAGAUGAUCCAGCUAAGAUACUAGAAAGACUAAAAGAAAUUGCCGAUGAUUAUAGGAAGAAAUAAACUUAAUAUUAACAGAUAUACUAUGUGCUAAACGUAACAAUAUGUAAUAUUUUUAAUUCAUAAUAACAUAGAAAUAUCUGUAUAGAUAUAAAUUUACCCUUUUUUA